rnacentral:rRNA from 1 species
UGGGGAAUCUUGCACAAUGGGGGCAACCCUGAUGCAGCGACGCCGCGUGAGCGAUGAAGCCCUUCGGGGCGUAAAGCUCUUUCGACCGGAACGAUAAUGACGGUACCGGGAGAAGAAGCUGCGGCUAACUACGUGCCAGCAGCCGCGGUAAUACGUAGGCAGCAAGCGUUGUUCGGAGUUACUGGGCGUAAAGAGUGCGUAGGCGGUUUUCUAAGACAGAUGUGAAAUCCCCGGGCUUAACCUGGGAACUGCGUUUGUGACUGCAAGGCUGGAGUACGGCAGAGGGGGGUGGAAUUCCACGUGUAGCAGUGAAAUGCGUAGAGAUGUGGAGGAACACCGAUGGCGAAGGCAGCCCCCUGGGCCUGUACUGACGCUCAUGCACGAAAGCGUGGGGAGCAAACA